rnacentral:lncRNA from 1 species
CCUACUCAGCUCCGUACCAGUCUCCGUCCAGUCACAGUUUCCACUAGCGGGGCAAGGGGUAAGUGUUCGGAUCUUCUUGUUGCCUUCAAAAUCUCCUCCCGUUUGGACCAUCUGUCCAUCCCACAUAAACUGACCGGACGAGCACCAGGUGUCUGUGAAGAUGAAUAAAGCUCGAACAGCACCAUUGGCAGGAUUGAACAUGACGGAAUGGGCAUAGCAGUCAGACUUAGAAAUGCGCUCCGCAGGCUGCUGGCGGCAUCGUCCAUCAGGCAAUUUGAUCUGGGAGGGACCAAUGUUGGUCCGAUCAAGAAAGAUGACGGUAUUGAAGCGCGUUACGGCU